rnacentral:sRNA from 1 species
UGCAGCCCAGGCUGCAUGCGUAGGUCAAGCAGGAAAGGAUGUCGUCGCUGGACGCAACGCGUCUCUCUGGUGGAAUUCCCCCUAGCCGCACCAACGCACUCUGGUCUGAUGGGCAGACCACCAACAUCAUCUCGUAAGCAAGGAAAGAAUCAUGGCAACUGGCACAGUCAAGUGGUUUAACGACACCAAAGGUUUCGGCUUCAUUUCUCCGGACGACGGCGGCGACGACCUGUUCGCGCACUUCUCUGAAAUUCAGGCAGAAGGCUUCAAGUCCCUGCAAGACGGUCAGAAGGUUUCCUUCGACGUCACCCAGGGCAAGAAAGGCCUUCAGGCCGCAAACAUCAAGCCGGUCUGAUCUUCUCGAUCAGCCUGGUCAGGCCGCCCUCACCGGCGCCCUGAUGAUGGCAGCAAGACAGUCAUGGAAAAGCCCGCCUUCCGGCGGGCUUUUUUGU